rnacentral:lncRNA from 1 species
AAGAGAUCCAAAAUGACACCUGCUAUGAAUCUAUACAAUACUAGGACAUGUCAGCUUUUGAGGUGCUCUGAUCUAAACUUUAAUUAGCUGCAAUAUUUGAUUCUUGCAAUUUGCGAUAUAUAACUUUAUCUUCCAUAUAUGAAUGCAACCAACUAUUAUAUAUUGAACUGGAUGCAUACUUAAAAACGUAUUUAUUUGUCUGUGGUGCCUUAAAUAUACAUUCCAUACAUGUUUUGUCUCUUUUUGAAAAUGAUUAAACUGUUGCAACUUUUUAGAGCAAUCUCUGGGCUCCCCUUUACUUCCAAAAUAUUGUAAAAUAUAUGUGAUUUUUAGUCUCUUUUACAGUACCUUUUAUUGUUUUUUUGAAACGGAGGCAAAAGAUUUGCCUCACAUAUUAAAUAAGGAGAGAAGAGUUUGUUGCAACAUACACCCAAAGUACGGCAUGACAAUUAUUCUCGCAAUAAAAAGGACCCUAACUUCUUUGCCCCGGCGGUGAUCCAAAGGUUUGCCUCGUCGACAAUGGUGUUGAGUAAAGUUGGCGGAGGUGCGCUCUUAUGCCGAAACACUUGCGUUUCUCUCGUUUCAAAUGACCCACGAGACAAGCAUGGUGAUCGAGGCCUUCACUUUUCGGUUGGUGGUGCCCACGGCGCUCAUGCUCGCCCACCAUGCCUUGACUGAGUCGUACGAGCUCCACGCAGACGUGUCCAUGUCGUGUAUGAGAAAUUUCUGAAUAACCAAAUUCCACAGCCUCAGCGUGAAGCGGCACCUGAAGAAUAGAUGGGUUCCACAUUAGUACCUUCUAUUGUGACCCUU